GCCCUAUAUUUGUGGUUUUAUUAACAUGGCCAAAUUUCGUAUUGGGGAUGAUAAUGAAGGAGGUGGUGCCACGUACGCAAAAUACAUUUGGAGUUCAACAUCUUGCACUGCAAUUUGUGGAAGUAACUUUGACGUCUGUGUUACGUAAGGUGAGAAUUGUGCGUCAAUGGGUGCUCUUUCGGCGGAGUGAUUGUGUGGAUUGUUGUCUUGAGGGUAAUCCUCAGACAUAGGCGAGUCAGUGCGACAGAGGCUCAACGGUGACCACUAGUACAAAAACUGUCUUUAAAUUAAUGGUUUUAUUUUUAGAUUCUAGUUUUUCUUGAGAGUUUGUAAAUUUUGAAACUCUCUGGACUGUUUGCUUUUGGUUUUGGUUUUGGAUGCGUUUUUAAAUUUUAUACUGCGAUGUUUGACAAAA